CUUGCGCUUUGCCAAAAACCAAGAGCUGCUGUCCUCGGGCAUUGCGAAGAGAAAAGUGCAGUCCGAGCCUAGAGCUGUGCAAACCUCUCGCGCCAUGUGGUACCUACUGUUGUUUUGGGUGUUCCCGUGGGUCUGGGUACAAUCCGAAGCCCAGCAAAAGAAUUUCCGCUUCAGCAUUCAGCAGAUCUCUUCCUUCCCAAACAGUAGUUGCUCAAGCACAGAUGGCUUGGCCUGGCUGGGGGAUCUGCAAACACACCGGUGGAGCAAUGCCUCAGACACCAUUGACUUCGUGAAGCCUUGGUCCCAGGGCAAAUUCAGUGACCAACAGUGGGAGCACUUGCAGCGCAUAUUUCAAGUUUAUCGAUUCAGCUUUACCAGGGACGUACAUGAAUUUGUCAAAAUGGUGCCUAAUAUACACUGUGAGUGGAGGGAUGGAGCCCUGGAAAGGUACCUACUGGAUCCCAUUGAGAUGCAGUUGUCUACUGGGUGUGACCUGUACUCUGAGAACGUUUCAGAAAGCUUUUUAUAUGCAGCAUAUCAAGGAGAAUAUAUCCUGAGUUUUCAGGGAACUUCCUUUCAGAAGGCCCCAGAUGCCCCACCUUGGACAGAUUUGGUCAUUAAAGUGCUCCAUGGUGAUCAAGGGACAAUGGAAACGGUGCAACAACUUCUGAAUGAUACCUGGCCCCAGUUUGCCCGUGGUCUCCUGGAGACAGGGAAGGCAGAGCUGGAGAAACAAGAGAAGCCUGUGGCCUGGUUGUCCAGUGGCCUCAGUCCUAAACAUGGUCAUCUACAGUUGGUGUGUCAUGUCUCUGGCUUCUACCCAAAGCCUGUGUGGGUGAUGUGGAUGCAGGGUGAGCAGGAGCAAAAUAGUACUCAGAGGAGUGACUACCUGCCCAAUGCUGAUGAGACAUGGUAUCUCCGAGCAACCCUGGAUGUGGAGGCUGGAAAGGAGGCUGGCCUGGCCUGCUGCGUGAAACAUAGCAGUCUAGGAGGACAGGAUAUCAUCCUCUAUUGGGAGCAGAUGGCCGACAUUUAUCCAUGGGUAUUAUCAUCGUUCUAGUACUAGUAGUAGUACUAUUAUUAAUAUGUGCUGUAAUUGGUUAUGUCAUCUUCACCAAGAAGCGCUGCUCCUAUCAAGACAUCCUGUAGGUCUUCCUUACACCUGCCUUUCCUGAGACUCAGACCUUCCAGCUUCUAGGACUUCAUUCCUUGUUGCUGAGGAACUGAGGAGAAUAAAAGAGCCUUGAAGAAAGUGAGGAGCAACCAGCACACCCUUUCAACAUUUAUUUUAAAAAUUAAUUUCUUUUUUAUUGUAUUACAAAGUUAUCAAAGCCCGGGGGGGGGGGUUGGAACAAACACAAUUGCAAAUACACAUACCUGGCAAAACGAGCUCUGGGCAGUAUUUUAUGGGAUGCACUGAACUGGAAAGCACAGAUCCUGCCCGAACCGAUGCUUCCAAGUUUGUUGAAAAGUGUAAAGUCCAAUGCCAACAUGGCUGAUCUCUGCAGGUUUCAAGAAACCUAGAAGUACUUAUUUGAGAGGAGAGGUGACAUACAGAUUUUAAAGUAAACUCAAAUAUUUGCAAAUAUCA